GGAAGUGUGGCCGAGCGGUUGAAGGCAGCGGUCUUGAAAACCGGCGACCCGAAAGGGUUCCAGAGUUCGAAUCUCUGCGCUUCCGCCA
rnacentral:tRNA from 2 species